rnacentral:lncRNA from 1 species
AUCAUGUAUACACAGUGCAUUCAAUCGGAACCUACAUCGACAUAUACAAUGUACAUACAAAAGACAACCUCAAAACAUUAAUAAAAUGCCACUGACAUGGUUAAGUCCUACCAAAAGUCAUAGAUAGAAUUGUACAAAGCGCAUAAAAGUGUUGGCGUUUAGUUAAUGACAAACAAUAAUAUAUUUGCAUACUAUCCUAUAUGUUGAUGACUUCAUUCAACUAUUAACAUCGUUGUUUCAUGUGGAAUAUUCACCUUUAUUAUACUCACCUUUAUUUUGCUCGGAAUAACCACUGCAAUGAACAUGUGGAAGUAAAUUCGACCACAUAAACAACGAGUCUUCUAUGAUUUCCUUUUUCAAGUACUCAUUUUUNACUCUGAAAACUCUAGCAUACCAAUCAUAACUAUUGUGACUCUUUUCAAGUACUCACUUUUUACUCUUGAAAACUCUUGCAUACCUCGGAGUUAUUGUGAGAAAAAUACCUCGGAGUCCAAAUUUCGCAACAAGUGCUAGCGCAUCAUGUCACGACAAUCCAGAUCACGCAGCCCAUCUAUGGGAUUGGAAUAGCCACCAGUGUCAACAACAACAACACACAUCUUUCUUUUUAUUGAUUUCUUAUUUGAAAAUUACAAACCACGGUCAAUAAAAAAAUUAAUAGGAACACCACUUACUAAACAAUCUAACAUAAUGAUAAAUUGAAUUGUGCAAAUCUAGACACUGACACAACAAAUAUAAUUAUGCACCUCUCAAGCCUCUCGACCGAGUAGUCAGAGCAUGUGAACACUCACGACCAAAAAUAAGUGGCAUAGCCAUAAAAGUUGCAGAUGGAUAAGGUAAGCUAAAACGUAAAUGUUUUGAAGUUGUCACAUGGCCGUGCAAGACAUUUGAACAAAGAUUUAAUAUUAAAUUCCCAGCAAAACAAAUACAAGCAACAAAGAAUUGAGAAGUACAUGGCAGGUGUGACAACACAGCUCGCAACAUGCAUUAUAGAAGAAUUAAAAUUACCAUGCACCAUACUCUAAAACAAAGACAUGUGUGCAACCGAUACAAAUGAGCCCCGAAAAAAGAAAAAUACAAAGAAAGCUCACCAGUAACCUUAUUUGAAAGCACAAGUACAUCUUCUUUUUGUCAUAACAAGAUAUCUGAAAAACGUGACCAAGGUGAUAAAAUGAGGAUUCAGUAAUUUAGUCAAUGGUACAAUAAAAUAUGAAAAGAAAAUAGAGCACAAAAAUACUAUUUUGAGAACCAAGUAGGGUAGUGAUUUACAGAAAGUGCAAUUAAUGGAUGAAAAGUGUUCAAGCAAACAUAUUCGAUGUGAGCAAAGACAAGCGGACCGUGAGGGCACCUGUCGAAAACCGGAAACCAAAAAUAACAAUCUCCAUAUAACACUAAGUAACAAAUCCUUAAAAAACCUAAAGGCUAGAGGCAAUAACCCAAGUCCUAAUCCUAGAGUAAUAAAUCUCAUUCUCUAAACUUCAAAAUGAUUACUAUAACUAAACGAUAAUUGGUAAAUGACUUUUAAGUUUUAACUUUCUAAAGUUACGACCUUGUAGUUCAUUUCCAAUGUCACUUAUAGAAUUCUUGUAGCUAUGCUAUUUACUUAAACACAAUUUUGGUUACCAAUAUUGAAUUUGAUGAUUAUCCAGGUGGAGAGAUCAAUUAUUUGUUCAAUUACCGCAAAUUAUUUCAGACUCAGUAAAGGUGAAGCUAUUUCAGACUCCGAAAAGGUGAAGCAACUGUAUUGAGUUGGGCUACAUGAUAGUAUACCUAAGAUUCUCUGGAGCUAUAGUUCUAUAUUUAUGAUAGUGUGUUAGUAUAUGAUCUAUUGGCAUAAUAUGUUGGUGUGUUUGAAAAAUUGUUGUUCCAUAGGCAAGCUCAAGUUGUUUAUACAUUUUAACAUGGACCCUAAAAACUAAAACUACAUUUUAAUUUAUCAUGAUUUCAACACGUAAGAGAGAAAAUGCAUAUUAUGGAGACUUACCCAAGUGCAAGAUAAUGCUCACUACGCCCGUGGAGAUGUAACUCUUGAAGAAGUGAAUGUCAGUGAAUGAGCACGUGCCUGAGAAUAAUUUAGAAAAAAGAAUCACAUGAAUAUUUAAACAAAUCAUAUUUAUCUUUUUUAUUGGGGAGGGAGAGCGGUGGAAUUUGAACCCUAGACCUCACAGACAUGAGUUCGCACCUGUUGGUGUCCCCUUGAGGACAUCAAACAAAUCAUAUUAAUACUUACUACAUUUUGUACAAAAAGUAGUACAUGAAAAAUUAAGAAUAUCAAAGUUUAAUUAAAAUCCUACUUAUUCAUAAUUAAAAAUUAAGAAUGGAAAAAAAAAAAAAAAUGGGUACGCACUACAACAAAAAUGCUAAUAGACUAGUGUUAAAAACCGUAGUCAUAGGGGUAAAAUAAGUGUUGUCGUAGACUGUGUAGUGGUAGAUGGGCGCUAAUAGACCACGGUUUUCAAACUGUGAUUGUAUAUAUCUACGACCACGGUUUUAAAACCGUGGUCUUUUAGCAUGUCGCAAGCGCCAAUAGACCACGCUUUUAGAAGCGUGGUCUUUUAGCAUAUCAUAUACGCUAAAAAACCAUGUUUUUAAAACCGUAGUCGUAGACUAUUGCUGCAUUUUUUUUUUCUAUUUCAAUAAUGACCUAAUUAAUUAAUAUUCAACUUAUUCAAAAUUAAUAAACACAAAUCAAAAUACAUAAAUUUAACGCGAGUUCAAUAUUCAAUAGUCAUUACAAUAAUUUAAGAAUUUUUUGCAUUGUACUUUAAACAUAAUUGUAGCAACUAAAAAUAAUAUAGAAGAAAGCAUCACUUUUUUGACAAAAUUCUUCUAUCCCUCUCUCUCUUCAGAUUCAGAAGUCCCACUGGAUAGUCUAUACGCUUGUACUACCACUUGCUGAAACUCCUCCGAUGCCACAGCCGCCACAAAUGUCUUGUACAACUGCCGCACCUCAAAAGAAGCUGCAUAAUAAUAUACACAGUGCACAACUAACGAAUACAAUAAUAGACAAUAAUAUGAACACCAAAGUUUAAAAAACAAAAGUAUGUGUUUAAAUUUAGCAAGUGGCGUAAUAAAAGCACUCAUCCACACACAGCCACAAAAUUCAGCACGAGUACCUUCAUUCCACCGAUAAAUGAUCUUGUGCGCAAGUUCCGGCUCUCCAGCCGCAGCUGCAGAGCUAUUGAACCAAACAGAAUCCACAACGCCAAUCGUAUAUCAAGCAAUGAUCGUUCGGAUUACAAAAACACUCUUAAGAAACGACAACUGUUCCGACUUCGACACUAAUACGUAUACUUACCUACAGCGAUUCAGGUUUUGGGGGAAGGAUUUACGGUUGAGAUACGUCUGAUCAGCAUCGAAGAGUGACCUCAGAGUUCUUCUGUGCCAAUGCUGCAGUCUGAAAUUGAAAAAGAAAAAGCAGGAGUUAGAAACUUCAGAUUCCAUCAAAGCACAAGUAAUGCUGCUAAACCAAAUAAAAUGCAAGCUAUUAAGAGAUGAAACUUUACCGUAUGCAUACACAAAUCUCAUCCAAAUUUCCCUAAUCAAUACCAAAUAAAAUGUCACCCAAGCAGAAUUACCUCAGAGAUUGGUUCUUUAAGAGAUUUCCGGGCGGCCCGAACCCGAAUACCGAGCUUCUCAAGCUGCCUCGACAAGACCCGAAUGAGGGUGGCUGAGAUCGUCCACGAAAAUUUAUUAUGAGAUCGUCCACGAAAAUAAAUCCUACUAACCCUUUAGUACUCCAUUUGCAUCAGUAUAAACUUAUAUACCGGUGCAUGUAGAUGAAGUUAAGCUCAAAGCAAUUCCAUUUAGUACUCAAGGCAUAUUUUCUCUUAAUCAAAUUAUUUAUAAGAUUCAACUUCAAAGUUAGGACAAAUUGUGGAAGAAGCACAGACCAUUACUGAUCACAAGUUAUCUAAUCUCGAAAAGAACUUGAGAUUUUUACCUCAAACCAAAAAUUUAGCCUAGGAUUCUUGAUAAACAUGCAUUUUUACCUCUUGGUAUGUCAUUUUUGAUGGUUAGUUAUGAGGUUUUUGUGUGUUUGAUGGUUUAUUUUGAGCUUAUAUUGGUUUUAGGUCAAGAACUUGUCACUCGCUUGUGUUUGAACGUAUUUUCAGAAAUAAGGAAGAAGAAUUUGGAAGAUUUGUCUGAAAUACAAGUUGUAGUUCAUCUCGAGAGGAGUUCGUGAGCGCAAACGGUUCGUAAAUCGGAGUUCGGACGAGGGAGAACGAGCCAAAACAAAAUCACUGCGCAAGGCCGCGCGAGGUCGCGCGGUNCCAAUAUUGAAUUUGAUGAUUAUCCAGGUGGAGAGAUCAAUUAUUUGUUCAAUUACUGUCAAAUUAUUUCUAGACUCAGUAAAGGUAGAAAGCUAUUUCAGACUACAGAAAAGGUAGAAGCAACUGUAUUGUGUUGGGCUACAUGAUAGUAUAUCUAAGAUUCUCUGGAGCUAUAGUUCUAUAUUUAUGAUAGUGUGUUAGUAUAUGAUCUAUUGGCAUAAUAUGUUGGUGUGUUUGAAAAAUUGUUUUCCAUAGGCAAGCUCAAGUUGUUUAUACAUUUUAACAUGGACCCUAAAAACUAAUACUACAUUUUAAUUUAUCAUGAUUUCAACACGUAAGAGAGAAAAUGCAUAUUAUGGAGACUUACCCAAGUGCAAGAUAAUGCUCACUACGCCCAUGGAGAUGUAACUCUUGAAGAAGUGAAUGUCAGUGAAUGAGCACGUGCCUGAGAAUAAUUUAGAAAAAAGAAUCACAUGAAUAUUUAAACAAAUCAUAUUUAUCUUUUUUAUUGGGGAGGGGGGAGCGGUGGAAUUUGGACCCUAGACCUCACAGACAUGAGUUCGCACUUGUUGGUGUCCACUUGAGGACAUCAAACAAAUCAUAUUAAUAAUACUUACUACAUUUUGUACAAAAAUUAGUACACGGAAAAUUAAGAAUAUCAAAGUUCAAUUAAAAUCCUACUUAUUCAUAAUUAAAAAUUAAGAAUGGACAAAUAAACUAAAAUCCUAUUGACUAUACAUAAUUAUAUCGAGCAUCCCUAUUUUGGAAGCACCCAAUUAGGCAAUUAUAUUUUUGUCUAGUACUUCCAAUGCACCUCCGGAAAUUACUUCAAUCAGUAAACAUUGCAUUAAUAAAUCAAACAAAAAUUAAAUCAAUUACAUUCAAUUAAUUAAUUAAAAUAAGUUUAAGUUAAAACUCUAGGCCCAUUCCUUAAUACUUAUCAUCAAAUCCAACAUUAUUUCAUUAUCAUCAUCAGUACUCAUGAUCCAUUCCAAACAUACAGUAUUAUUAUCAAUCAAAGAUAGAGACUUAGUUAAAAUUCCCACAAUAUACUGCCCCUGUUCCACGGUGCUCUCUCUACUCUUUGUGUACCCUGUCAACUCUCUCUCUCUCUCAACUUCAUCUGUCUCUGCACUUCACAUUUGCAACAGAGAGUGAAUCUCAUCCCCAACUAUCAAAUCCCAAAUCCCUCUUCUUCUUCUUCUUCUUCUUCCCCCUUCUUCUUAAUUUACGGCGAAUACCCAUAACGGUUUGUUCUCUCAUCAAUCAGCCGUCCGACUAUAUCUUACCGUCGUUCCCUAUCGUUGACCACACUCCUCAGCUCGCCCUGAUAAUCAGCAGCUAAUAAAACUGCGCCGCCGCAGACCAGCACUCUCAACACAGACAACAAAACAAGAAAUGGAGCCACAACUCAGCCAAGACUGGUCGUUCCCAAUCGUCGACCCACCCUGCACACCUAAGCUGCUGACGAUGCAGCAGCUUAGUUCUAUAGUUCUAUUGUGUUGUGCUGUGCUCUGUUUUGUGAAAAAAUUCUAGGGUUCCUCAGAAAAUUUAACGAUAAAAUACAGGUUUACGAAAUCAAAGCUCACCUCCUUGUUUUGUUGGUGCAAUGGAUUUCUCUAGUGUGAUUUUUGGUUGAAUUUUGAUCUGACUUUGCACUUUCACCGUUGAAUUUG